UACUUGAAAAUUAAAAAAUUUGGCGGUAUUUUAGUCUUUUCCGAGGAACUUGUUCUAUAAUCGAUAGUCCACGAUUUAAUCAAUUUAUUUUAGUUAGUUUAUAUAUCAUCGUAGUUUGAAUAUUUUAUAAGAAUUUAAUAUUCAAUAAUUUUUAUUUAAAAAUAAAUCAGAUCAAGGUAUAGCUUAUAAAUAAAAAGAAAUGAGUUACAAUAAAAAUAUUUUUGGUUUAAUAAUUGAAAAUUAUUAAUAAAUUGGAUUUGAAAGUAAUAAAAUUAAUUUAAUUUUUAUGAUUUAGCUCUAAAAUAUGCACACAUCGCCCGUCGCUCUU
rnacentral:rRNA from 1 species